rnacentral:rRNA from 1 species
GCCAGCCCGCUCAGAAACUUAAAUGAAUUGACGGGGGCCCGGCACAAGCGGUGGAGCAUGUGGUUUAAUUCGAUGAUACGCGAGGAACCUUACCUGGGCUCAAAUGUAUGUUGACGAUUUCUGAAAGGGAUACUUCUUCGGACAAUAUACAAGGUGCUGCAUGGUUGUCGUCAGCUCGUGCCGUGAGGUGUCGGGUUAAGUCCCAUAACGAGCGCAACCCCUAUCAUUAGUUGCCAUCAGGUUAAGCUGGGGACUCUAAAGGAACUGCCUACGCAAGUAGUGAGGAAGGCGGGGAUGACGUCAAAUCAGCACGGCCCUUACGUCCAGGGCUACACACGUGCUACAAUGGCCGGCACAACGGGAAGCGAGUUCGCGAGGACGAGCGGAUCCCUCAAAGCCGGUCGCAGUUCGGAUUGGAGUCUGCAACUCGACUCCAUGAAGUUGGAAUCGCUAGUAAUCGUGGAUCAGCAUGCCACGGUGAAUACGUUCCCGGGCCUU